rnacentral:rRNA from 1 species
GAUGAACGCUGGCGGCGUGCCUAAUACAUGCAAGUCGAGCGAACGGACGAGAAGCUUGCUUCUCUGAUGUUAGCGGCGGACGGGUGAGUAACACGUGGAUAACCUACCUAUAAGACUGGGAUAACUUCGGGAAACCGUAGCUAAUACCGGAUAAUAUUUUGAACCGCAUGGUUCAAAAGUGAAAGACGGUCUUGCUGUCACUUAUAGAUGGAUCCGCGCUGCAUUAGCUAGUUGGUAAGGUAACGGGUUACCAAGGCAACGAUGCAUAGCCGACCUGAGAGGGGGAUCGGCCACACUGGAAGUGAGACACGGUCCAGACUACUACGGGAGGCAGCAGUAGGGAAUCUUCCGCAAUGGGCGAAAGCCUGACGGAGCAGCGCCGCGUGAGUGAUGAAGGUCUUCGGAUCGUAAAACUCUGUUAUUAGGGAAAAACAUAUGUGUAAGUAACUGUGCACAUCUUGACGGUACCUAAUCAGAAAGCCACGGCUAACUACGUG